rnacentral:rRNA from 1 species
CCUACGGGAGGCAGCAGCAGGGAAUAUUGCACAAUGGGCGAAAGCCUGAUGCAGCGACACCGCGUGCGGGAUGACGGCCUUAGGGUUGUAAACCGCUUUCAGGAGGGAAGAAAAUGACGGUACCUCCAGAAGAAGCUCCGGCCAACUACGUGCCAGCAGCCGCGGUAAU